CUUUGUUAGGUAGAUGCAGUUCAUAUGUUGUUUAUUUUCACAUAUUUUUAUUGCAUUAGUUCGUCUAAAUAUUUUCCUACUGACUAAUGAGAGAUUAUGCGAUUGUAGUGGAUAUGUAGGCUUUUUCUGCUUAAAGACAAUUGGAACAAUUUAACAAGAACUGCUUGGAUAUGGAUCGCAAUUAGGACAAAAGUGUUUGCGCUUUCAGUUUGGGUUUGAUCGAGACAAGGAGGCGGCUCCUCCCUUCGAACUAGAAUCAAUUUUCAACCCUCACAAUUUACCCUUAUAUAUCUUCACAAUUCAUCUUUUCUUUUUGCUCUUUCUUUUUUCCCCCUCUGCUCUUUUUAUUUUUUUCUUCUAUUGUUUUUAUUAUAUUAUUUUUUUUCUUGCUUAGUUUGCGGUGGUGCCCAACUCCUACUAGGAGCUCGACCGCGAUCGCAAGAAAACGAAGAACAUCAAGGAACUCUCCGGCACUGUCAAGGAGAUCCUUGGCACCUGUGUCUCCGUCGGGUGCACCGUCGACUGCCCCGACACGUGAGAUUGGUUGUUUCUUUAUCCUUCUCUUUUAAAGAGUAGAUUUUUAUUCAUCCUUUGAUGAUUUUGAUUCAUGUAGUAGUUUUCGAGAGUUCAAUUUGCAAUCUCUAUGUGGUCGUACUGAGUAAGAUGAUGUUGAGCUAUUUUUGGGUUAAAUUAAAUGAUUGUUCUAUUUCGCUCAAUUAGUCAUAUUAGAGUAAAAGAAAAUUAAUUUGCGCUAAACAAAAAGGUUAUUUUGUUUGCUCUUCAUAAUUGCUUUGUUUCAGGGUUGUCUCUUUCUUUAAAGAGUAGAUUUUAUUCACUCUUCAAUUAUUUUGGAUCAUGUAGUUGUGUUGACUUUAAUUUGCAAUUUCUAUAUGUCAGUACCGAGUAAGAUGAUGUUGAGCACUUUUGGGAUUAAAGCAUUUUCUGUUUUGGGAAAAAAAAUUGGUAAUUGUAAUGGAAGAAAUGGUAGUGCGUGUACAAAAGCAUUGACAUUCUACAAUAUUUUAUCAGCUAUACAAAAAUGAAUAGGGAGAUUAAUAUUUGAAGCAUCUUUUGUAAACAAUACUAACAUCGGAAAUAAUCCAGGAAUAUGCUUAACUGCUUCAGAUCAUAUUGGGUCAUUUUUUUGUUUCUGGUUUACUAGAUAUAGUUAUAGAUAGCUGCAUAAUAUAAUUUUUUAUCUUUUUUUUUUUUAAACUUUCUUACCGAUUGACUUGCAGAGAGAUCUUUCUCUCACAUGGUACAGGAGUAUAUAGAAUAUUCUCAAGUUCUUAAAUAAAAAUUAUAGUAGAUAUAGGUGUAUCCGAGUAUAGGUGUAUCUGGGUGUGGGUUUGCUGUCUAUGUUACUGGCUACAUUUAAAGAAUGUGAACUAUAUGAUGUGCUAAUUUUCAAUUAUUUUAGUAGUCUUAUCAAAAUUUCACUAAGAAAAUUAAGAUGUGCCUAUUUUUCCUUAGGUUGUGGAGAAGAACAUCUUCAUAGUAUUGAACAAUAUCAGUGAAUACUCGAGUUGCUUAAGACGCCGAUCUUGAACUUGCUUUUGAUACAGAAGAUAUCAAGAGCAAGGGAACUAUGGCAAAAGAGGACGAACAACAACAGAAAAAGGAGGUGUGAUUGUGUUCCUUGGCCUUCGUCAACUACGAAACUGGCAAGUUUGAGUGGCUACGUAUACUCAAGGCAGAGUUCAAGGCUGCUAGCAUAAUUUUCUGAUGCAAGAACAAAGAGCAGGUUCAUUGACAGGAUAUUCAAUUUCUCUUAGGACAAGACAUUACAGAAUAAGUUUAGUCAAUUUUUGGUGAUGUAAGCUUCAUGUCUUUGUUGAGUGAAACUUGAGUCUCUCCCUCUUCAUUAUCCUGCAAUAAGUAUAUGAAAAUUAGUUAUGGUAAUAUUUUUGUUAAUUAUUCAUUUAUUUACUUUUGUUUUACAUGUG